rnacentral:rRNA from 1 species
AAUCAACGCUGGCGGCGUGCCUCAGACAUGCAAGUCGAACGCGAAAGUUCCCUUCGGGGGGAUAAGUAGAGUGGCGUCCGGGUGAGUAACACGUAGGUAAUCUACCUUUGGGUGGGGAAUAACAACCGGAAACGGUUGCUAAUACCGCAUAAUGCAGCGGCACCACAUGGUGACAGUUGUUAAAGCGGGGGAUCGCAAGACCUCGCGCCUAAAGAGGAGCCUGCGGCGGAUUAGCUAGUUGGAGGGUAACGGCCUACCAAGGCAACGAUCCGUAGCCGGCCUGAGAGGGCGGUCGGCCACACUGACACUGAAAUACGGGUCAGACUCCUACGGGAGGCAGCAGUCGGGAAUUUUGGGCAAUGGGCGAAAGCCUGACCCAGCAACGCCGCGUGAAGGAUGAAAUCCCUCGGGAUGUAAACUUCGCAAGAAC